rnacentral:rRNA from 1 species
CUACGGGUUGCUGCAGUGAGGAAUAUUGGUCAAUGGGCGGAAGCCUGAACCAGCCAUCCCGCGUGGAGGAAGACGGCCCUAUGGGUUGUAAACUUCUUUUCAAGGGGAAGAAAAUUUCCGACGUGUCGGGAUUUGCCGGUACCUUUGGAAUAAGCUUCGGCUAACUCCGUGCCAGCAGCCGCGGUAAUACGGAGGAUGCGAGCGUUAUCCGGAUUUAUUGGGUUUAAAGGGUGCGUAGGCGGAUCGAUAAGUCGGCGGUGAAAUCCCAUGGCUCAACCAUGGAAUUGCCGUUGAAACUGUCGGUCUUGAAUUUGGUCAAGGUAGGCGGAAUGUGUAAUGUAGCGGUGAUAUGCUUAGAUAUUACACAGAACACCGAUUGCGAAGGCAGCUUACUGGAGCAAUAUUGACGCUGAGGCACGAAAGCGUGGGGAUCGAACAGGAUUAGAUACCCCAGUAGUC